rnacentral:rRNA from 1 species
GAUGAACGCUGGCGGCGUGCCUAAUACAUGCAAGUCGAGCGAACGGACGAGAAGCUUGCUUCUCUGAUGUUAGCGGCGGACGGGUGAGUAACACGUGGAUAACCUACCUAUAAGACUGGGAUAACUUCGGGAAACCGGAGCUAAUACCGGAUAAUAUUUUGAACAGCAUGGUUCAAAAGUGAAAGACGGUCUUGCUGUCACUUAUAGAUGGAUCCGCGCUGCAUUAGCUAGUUGGUAAGGUAACGGCUUACCAAGGCAACGAUGCAUAGCCGACCUGAGAGGGUGAUAGGCCACACUGGAACUGAGACACGGUCCAGACUCCUACGGGAGGCAGCAGUAGGGAAUCUUCCGCAAUGGGCGAAAGCCUGACGGAGCAACGCCGCGUGAGUGAUGAAGGUCUUCGGAUCGUAAAACUCUGUUAUUAGGGAAGAACAUAUGUGUAAGUAACUGUGCACAUCUUGACGGUACCUAAUCAGAAAGCCACGGCUAACUACGUG